UAAUCGCCAGGGUUGUUGCACCUUCCUGUUUUGAUCUCGAGUAAAAUUAGCUUGGAAUUCGUUAUCAGUGUGUCAGACCGGAAAAACGUCAUCUCAAGUGGCUGAAUUUGGAACAAGUCAUUCAACAUGACGCUUAGCGGGACACUUUGGACAUUCCUGGCGUACCAAUAUCAAGUUGAUGUGUGGUCACCCUGUGGUGGGGUCUUGCUCCGUAAUGACUGACUUGACCCAGUAGACUUUGCAUGCAGGUCCAGAGCUUCUCUCUACCAUCUGGGAUAACAGCUAUAACGAGUAAAGGAAGGCCCCCCUAGGUUUCUGCUUGGAUGUAUAAGUAACUAUCAAAUAGGUGUUAUUGAAAGGGGAUCAUAUUUGAACUGAUACUAAUUUUUUGCUCCAGAAUAGCAAGGGCGCAACGCGGGCUAGAACACAUGAGAAUCGAUAAAACUCAUUCAAUCACCUUUUCUCAUUUUCCCCUUUCUGACACUAAACAGUGUGUAUAUAAAAAAAAUGAAGCGAGAGAAAUAGUUGGCCAAAGUCUACGCAAAACGCACAAGAGAAACUUUAUGAACUUAUCUUAACGCUGCCAUCCGCAUUUAAACUAAAUUUUUGCGUGGUGGAUGCCGUCUGGUAGUUUGACCCCAGAAAAGAUCAAAACGCCAUGCUAGCCUCCUCCGCGGGCGUCUUUAAGCGUUAGAAAACCGGAAUAAAUCGGAAUAGGCCUUCCUGUGGCUAUCAAAUUUCUUUGUUAAAGGGGGAGGAGAAAAUAUACACAUCUUUUAUUGAAACAGUAGACCCUGAGUGAUGUUCAGCGCGACAUAGAAUAAUAACAAAUUCUCAUUACCUCGGUCACACUGAGCCCCUUAUUCGAACAAGAAAGGCUUCUUACGGUCUAUGACAUUAACACCCUUGAAACUGCAUUAUUCAUGUGUAGAUUCGACAAUAAUCAAUUACCGGGGACUUUUGAUAACUUAUUUUUGAUAACUUUUUUAAAAGAAAUAAUACAAUCCACAGCUAUAACAUGAGAAAUUCGUGCGACUAUCGCACAACUCUCAGAAAAACAAGACGGGGCCAAUUUUCAAUUUCGUACAGGGGUCCAAAAAUCUGGAGCAACCUCACUUCUCAAGCAAAACAAUGCAGAUCAAUAAAUAUGUUCAAAAAGAUUGCAAAGGACAAUAUUCUCUCUCAAAAAGCAGCUAUUGAUUUAUAGAUAUGAUUCUACUUCAUUUCAUCAAAUCAGCCACAUGUAAAUUGAAUAAUAAGGAUUCCUUAGUUAAAACAAAUCAAGAAAAUUUAAUAUAUAUUUUAGUAGAGACGUUACUAAGUCUGCGACAGGGGUUCUACACCUCAUAAGCAUUGUGCUUUUAGUAGACUCCUCAUCAUCACUAUUUUUUGCAUUAUUAUCAUUAUACUAUACUAUUAUUUGAUGAAAUAAACUUGAUUGACAUAA